UACUAUCGAUAGUAUUGAUAGUUUUUUGUUUUUCAACUAUCGAUACCAUCGAUAGUAUCGAUACUAUCGAUAGUUUUUCAUCUUUUAACUAUCGAUACUAUCGAUAGUAUCGAUACUAUCGUUGCUUAUCAAUAGUAUCGCCAAAAAUGAGCUAUAGAUACUAUCGAUAGUAUCGAUACUAUCGAUUAAUUAUCGAUACUAUCGUUUUUUGGUAAACUAUCGAUAGUUCGAUCGAAAACUAUCGAUAUGGCGCUAUCGAUCGGCAACACUAAUUUGAUAACAUUAAAAAAAUAACUGUCAAAGUCAGACGAGUGUUGGUCGAGUCUACUGUGUUUGCGAGUGAGUGUUUUAGACAAGAAAUAUGCCCAGAUGCCCAGGAUUUAGAUUACAGGGUACACCAAAUUUGGUCAACUUUUAUCAUGGUAACUAAACCUACCAUCGACUUAUCUGGGUUUAAGGAUUACCAAACAAAAGAGGUCGCGACUUGAGUCCGACAAGUCGCGGGUCGGCAAGUCGUCUAACGUCGUCGUUGUUCCAAGAGGUAGAUAGAGGUCGAGGACGUGGACAUGGAAGAGGUGGGCGUGCACACAGAGGAAGCAAAGUUGACAAUGUAGAAGAUGCUAUAGCUGAAGUGAGGGCACAGAGAAAUUACAAAAAAACGUAUGUCUAAACUGCCAGUAGAUGUUCAACAGGAAUUUAUGGACAGAAAGCGGCAGGCGCAAUUAGAUCGCAUAUUAUUGCCUGAUGCGCCUCCACGAAAGCGCCGCACGCAACGUCCAUCGCCAGAACGCGGUGCAAUAGAAUUUAUUUCGACUUCCAAUGCACCUGCUGGCCAGGUAGUCUCCGUGUCUGUCGACUUCAUUAUUAUUGCCCCCGAAGCCACCGACGUCGCUGGCGGAGAAGUGGUCGGGACUACCGACGAAUUUUAUAUGGUACCGUCACCCGAACCUGCCGCAUCUGUUGUCGCUGCGCCUGCUCCCGUCGUUGCUGCACCCGCUGGUGACUACGACUCAGAUAUACUCAGUUUCAUGAGUAGUCACCCCUAAGAGGUUUUGUUAACACCUUAUAUAAAUAUGUAUUACGUAUUUAAUAUUGGUCUCUUAAUUCUGCACCUCCCGCGUUUAUCUGUAAAAAUACUAUAUAACCAAAGGUUGCCUGGAAGAAAUUGCUAUUUAGCAAUAAGGCCGCCUUUUGUCUCUAGUGUCUCGAUUUAUUUAUGUUUGUCAUUUUGUGCAAUCAAGUAUAUUGUAUUGUAAGACUCAUUUUAUAUUCUAAUAAAAAAUAUAUAAUUUUAAGGUCCGAAU
rnacentral:misc_RNA from 1 species